ACCCGCACAAGCGGUGGAGGAUGUGGUUCAAUUCGAUGCUACGCGAAGAACCUUACCGUGGGCUUGACAUGUAGGUAGUAGUGACCCGAAAGGGAAGUCGACCGGGUUUACCCCGGAGGCCUGCACAGGUGCUGCAUGGCUGUCGUCAGCUCGUGUCGUGAGAUGUUGGGUUAAGUCCCGCAACGAGCGCAACCCUUAUCCCUAGUUGCCAUCAGGUAAAGCUGGGAACUCUGGGGAGACUGCCGGUGAUAAACCGGAGGAAGGCGGGGAUGACGUCAAGUCCUCAUGGCCCUUACAUCCCGGGCUACACACGUGCUACAAUGGCAGGUACAGAGGGCUGCGAAGCCGCGAGGUGGAGCGAAUCCCAGAAAACCUGUCUCAGUCCGGAUUGAAGUCUGCAACUCGACUUCAUGAAGGCGGAAUCGCUAGUAACCGCGAAUCAGCAGGUCGCGGUGAAUACGUUCCCGGGCCUU
rnacentral:rRNA from 1 species